UACGUAGGUGGCAAGCGUUGUUCGGAAUUAUUGGGCGUAAAGGGCUCGUAGGCGGUUUGUCGCGUCGGGAGUGAAAUCCACUGGCUUAACUGGUGGCUUGCUUUCGAUACGGGCAGACUGGAGGUAUGCAGGGGAGAACGGAAUUCCUGGUGUAGCGGUGAAAUGCGCAGAUAUCAGGAGGAACACCGGUGGCGAAGGCGGGUCUCUGGGCCGAUACUGACGCUGAGGAGCGAAAGCGUGGGGAGCGAACAGG
rnacentral:rRNA from 1 species